GACGAACGCUGGCGGCGUGCCUAACACAUGCAAGUCGAACGGAAAGGCCCUGCUUUUGUGGGGUGCUCGAGUGGCGAACGGGUGAGUAUCACGUGAGUAACCUGCCCUUGACUUUGGGAUAACUUCAGGAAACUGGGGCUAAUAUCGGAUAGGAGCUCCUGCUGCAUGGUGGGGGUUGGAAAGUUUCGGCGGUUGGGGAUGGACUCGCGGCUUAUCAGCUUGUUGGUGGGGUGGUGGCUUACCAAGGCACUGACGGGUAGCCGGCCUGAGAGGGUGACCGGCCACAUUGGGACUGAGAUAGGGCCCAGAGUGCAACGGGAGGCAGCGGUGGAAAGCAUUGCGCAAUAGGCGGAAGCCUGAUGCAGCGACGCCGGGUGCGGAAUGACGGCCUUCAGGUUGUAAACCGCUUUCGCCUGUGACGAAGCGUGAGUGACGGUAAUGAGUAAAGAAGCACCGGCUAACUACGUG
rnacentral:rRNA from 1 species